rnacentral:rRNA from 1 species
UGGGGAAUAUUGCACAAUGGGCGCAAGCCUGAUGCAGCCAUGCCGCGUGUAUGAAGAAGGCCUUCGGGUUGUAAAGUACUUUCAGCGGGGAGGAAGGGAGUAAAGUUAAUACCUUUGCUCAUUGACGUUACCCGCAGAAGAAGCACCGGCUAACUCCGUGCCAGCAGCCGCGGUAAUACGGAGGGUGCAAGCGUUAAUCGGAAUUACUGGGCGUAAAGCGCGCGCAGGCGGUUUGUUAAGUCAGAUGUGAAAUCCCCGGGCUCAACCUGGGAACUGCAUCUGAUACUGGCAAGCUUGAGUCUCGUAGAGGGGGGUAGAAUACCAGGUGUAGCGGUGAAAUGCGUAGAGAUCUGGAGGAAUACCGGUGGCGAAGGCGGCCCCCUGGACGAAGACUGACGCUCAGGUGCGAAAGCGUGGGGAGCAAACAGG